rnacentral:rRNA from 1 species
AGAGUUUGAUACUGGCUCAGAUUGAACGCUGGCGGCAGGCUUAACACAUGCAAGUCGAGCGGAAACGAUGAUAGCUUGCUAUCAGGCGUCGAGCGGCGGACGGGUGAGUAAUACUUAGGAAUCUACCUAGUAGUGGGGGAUAGCACGGGGAAACUCGUAUUAAUACCGCAUACGACCUACGGGAGAAAGGGGGCAGUUUACUGCUCUCGCUAUUAGAUGAGCCUAAGUCGGAUUAGCUAGAUGGUGGGGUAAAGGCCUACCAUGGCGACGAUCUGUAGCUGGUCUGAGAGGAUGAUCAGCCACACCGGGACUGAGACACGGCCCGGACUCCUACGGGAGGCAGCAGUGGGGAAUAUUGGACAAUGGGGGAAACCCUGAUCCAGCCAUGCCGCGUGUGUGAAGAAGGCCUUUUGGUUGUAAAGCACUUUAAGCAGUGAAGAAGACUCUUCGGUUAAUACCCGGAGACGAUGACAUUAGCUGCAGAAUAAGCACCGGCUAACUCUGUGCCAGCAGCCGCGGUAAUACAGAGGGUGCAAGCGUUAAUCGGAAUUACUGGGGCGUAAAGGGAGCGUAGGUGGCUCGAUAAAGUCAGAUGUGAAAUCCCCGGGCUCAACCUGGGAACUGCAUCUGAUACUGUUGAGCUAGAGUAUGUGAGAGGAAGGUAGAAUUCCAGGUGUAGCGGUGAAAUGCGUAGAGAUCUGGAGGAAUACCGAUGGCGAAGGCAGCCUUCUGGCAUAAUACUGACACUGAGGCUCGAAAGCGUGGGUAGCAAACAGGAUUAGAUACCCUGGUAGUCCACGCCGUAAACGAUGUCUACUAGUCGUUGGGUCCCUUGAGGACUUAGUGAC